rnacentral:tRNA from 1 species
UCAUUAAGAAGCUAUAUGGUACGCGACAGCCUUUUAAGCUGUAGAUAGGUGACUUCCAACCACCCUUAAUGAA